UGGCUCAGGACGAACGCUGGCGGCACGCUUAACACAUGCAAGUCGAACGAACGGAGAUAGCUUGCUAUCAAAGUUAGUGGCGGACGGGUGAGUAACACGUGAGCAAUCUGCCUUUAAGUGGGGAAAUAACGGCUGGAAACGACCGGUAAUACCGCAUAAUAUAGCGAAACCGCAUGAUUUUGCUAUCAAAGAUUUAUCGCUUAAAGAUGAGCUCGCGUCUGAUUAGCUAGUUGGUGAGGUAACGGCUCACCAAGGCGACGAUCAGUAGCCGGACUGAGAGGUUGAACGGCCACAUUGGGACUGAGACACGGCCCAGACUCCUACGGGAGGCAGCAGUGGGGAAUAUUGCACAAUGGGCGCAAGCCUGAAUGCAGCGAUGCCGCGUGAGGGAAGAAGGUUUUCGGAUUGUAAACCUCUGUUGACAGGGACGAUAAUGACGGUACCUGUUCAGAAAGCUCCGGCUAACUACGUGCCAGCCGCGGC
rnacentral:rRNA from 1 species